GCUUGGGUUGGCGCAGUGGUUAGUUCGUUUGUUCCCUACGCCGAAGGUCCCAGGUUCGAGCCCAGCGCACCACGCU